rnacentral:rRNA from 1 species
GAUGAACGCUGGCGGCGUGCUUAACACAUGCAAGUCGAACGGUGAACGAGGGAGCUUGCUCCCUCCGGAUCAGUGGCGAACGGGUGAGUAACACGUGAGCAAUCUGCCCUGGACUCUGGGAUAAGCGUUGGAAACGACGUCUAAUACCGGAUACGAGGCGUGGGGGCAUCCCCAACGCCUGGAAAGAACUUCGGUCCAGGAUGAGCUCGCGGCCUAUCAGGUAGUUGGUGAGGUAAUGGCUCCCCAAGCCUACGACGGGUAGCCGGCCUGAGGGGGUGGCCGGCCACACUGGGACGGAGACAGGGCCCAGACUCCUAGGGGGGGCAGCAGGGGGGAAUAUUGCGCAAGGGGCGAAAGCCGGAUGCAGCAACGCCGCGGGAGGGACGACGGCCUUCGGGUCGUAAACCUCUUUUAGCAGGGAAGAAGCGAAAGUGACGGUACCUGCAGAAAAAGCACCGGCUAACUACGUGCCAGCAGCCGCCGUAAUAC